rnacentral:snoRNA from 1 species
CACUCCAAUUCUGCCUCAUUUUCCUUAUUUUCUAUAGGAUUAUGGGUUCUACUUGCGGAGAAGAUAAAGCCACCAAAUUGAUUGUCCUCACGAUUUGAUACUUCUGGACGAUCGAUGGGGUGGAUCGUGGGAUGGUUGUCCAACUGAUUGAUAAGAUUGGCUGGAAACUCUUAAGUGAGCUUAAGCUUCUUGUCACAUUGAUGGAUCUCCCUACAUUU